rnacentral:rRNA from 1 species
GACGAACGCUGGCGGCGUGCUUAACACAUGCAAGUCGAACGGAAAGGCCCUGCUUUUGUGGGGUGCUCGAGUGGCGAACGGGUGAGUAACACGUGAGUAACCUGCCCUUGACUUUGGGAUAACUUCAGGAAACUGGGGCUAAUACCGGAUAGGAGCUCCUGCUGCAUGGUGGGGGUUGGAAAGUUUCGGCGGUUGGGGAUGGACUCGCGGCUUAUCAGCUUGUUGGUGGGGUAGUGGCUUACCAAGGCUUUGACGGGUAGCCGGCCUGAGAGGGUGACCGGCCACAUUGGGACUGAGAUACGGCCCAGACUCCUACGGGAGGCAGCAGUGGGGAAUAUUGCACGAUGGGCGGAAGCCUGAUGCAGCAACGCCGCGUGCGGGAUGACGGCCUUCGGGUUGUAAACCGCUUUCGCCUGUGACGAAGCGUGAGUGACGGUAAUGGGUAAAGAAGCACCGGCUAACUACGUG